rnacentral:rRNA from 1 species
UACGGGGGGAGCAAGCGUUGUUCGGAUUUACUGGGCGUAAAGGGCGCGUAGGCGGCGCAACAAGUCACUUGUGAAAUCUCCGGGCUUAACCCGGAGCGGCCAAGUGAUACUGUCGUGCUAGAGUGCGGAAGGGGCUACUGGAAUUCUCGGUGUAGCGGUGAAAUGCGUAGAUAUCGAGAGGAACACCUGCGGCGAAGGCGGGUAGCUGGGCCGACACUGACGCUGAUACGCGAAAGCCAGGGGAGCGAACGGG